UCUUCAGGUCCCCCCGGUCCCCUCCCCGGCGUCCACAGCGCCUCUGGUGACCAGCGGAUUGGACACGGCCCGGCCGGCCAUGGCCUCGUUGCUGAAGGUGGAUCAGGAAGUGAAGCUCAAGGUUGAUUCUUUCAGGGAGCAGAUCACAAGAGAGGCAGACUUGAUGGCAAAUUUUUUCACAAAGAAGUUAUUAGAACUUUAUAGUUUUCUGAAGGAACCAAUCUUAAACAUCCAUGAUCAAGCACAGAUCCACUCUGACAUGAGUCUCCCAGUCCCUGACCCCAUUCUUCUCACCAAUAGCCAUGAUGGACUGGAUGGUCGCACUUAUAAGAAGCGUAGGUUGGAUGAGUGUGAAGAAGCUUUCCAAGGAAUCAAGGUGUUUGUCGUGCCCAAUGGGACACUGCAAAGCAACCAGCAGCUGGUGCACGUUAUUGAGAAAGUGAAACCUGAGAUCCGCUGUUGACUGAGAAAUGUAACGCGGUCAGAAUGUGGGUACAGCUCCUGAUUCCCAGGAUAGAAGAUGGAAACAACUUUGGGGUGUCCAUUCAGGAGGAAACAGUUGCCGAACUAAGAUCUGUUGAGAGUGAAGCUGCAUCUUAUCUGGACCGAUUUCUAGAUACUAUAUUACAAGAGCCAAACUGGUUUCUAAAAUAGCUGAAUACCCCCACGUUCAGGACUAUCGCCGCACCAUGACAGAGAUUGAUGAGAAAGAAUAUAUCAGCCUUUGGCUCAUCAUAUCAGAGCUGAGGAAUCAAUAUGUCGCUCUACAUGCCAUGAUCCUGAAAAAUACUGAGAAGAUCAAACGGCCCCUGAGGCGAGGGGACUCUGUGAGUCUGGCUCAAGACCAACAUUGCCUUGGUUUGUAACAUACUAUCGUGAUGGGGAAACUGGCUGGAAAUAGUAAUGACACCUCUGUUUUUAGUUAGAGUCUAAUGAAAUUCUCAUCUAGUUCUGUGAGGUGUUUACCUCUUUUUUCAGGCCUCAGGAACUCUUCUAUUUCCUUCCCUAAUACCCCACACCCAGCCUGUCCUAAUUUCUGGACAACUCAAGGUUUGUGUGUGCACGAUGUUGGCAUACAAAUACUUGUGUUUCCACUCUUCUCUUCCCUCAUUUGUCUUGGGCUUUAUGUUUUCUUCCUUUUGAUGAUUAGUUGGUUAAAAGCUGAGGGAACUGGAAGGAAAGUGCCAGGUGUUUUUUAGCAACUGGGGUGGCGGAGGGAAACAACUUGUCUUCUACACAUGAAGUUACUGUCUCUUUCCUCUGUGGGGCACUGGAUCCUCCCACAGUUGCCCUGGUGGUGACUCAGGGCUUCGCAUCUGUGUCCAUUCCACCUUGACUCUUGAUCAUGACAAGAAACACCUUAGGCCUUCAGUCAAUUCCCAAGCUCCUUCAGAUGUUUUUAUGAUGGGAGUUUUCACAUACACAUAUAUGUGUGCAUGUGUACACCCAUACAGACAUGCACAUAUAUGUGUGCAUGUGUACACCCAUACAGACAUGCACAUAUGUGUGCAUGUAUACACCCAUACAGACAUGCACAUAUAUGUGUGCAUGU